CACGUAGGGGGCGAGCGUUUGUCCGGAUUUAUUGGGCGUAAAGAGCUCGGUAGGUGGCCAACUAAGUCAGACGUGAAAUCCCUCGGCUUAACCGGGGAACUGCGUCUGAUACUGGAUGGCUUGAGUUUGGGAGAGGGACGCGGAAUUCCAGGUGUAGCGGUGAAAUGACGCAGAUAUCAGGAGGAACACCAAUUGCGAAGGCAGCUCGCUGGGACGUUACUGACGCUGAGACGCGAAAGCGUGGGGAGCAAACAGG
rnacentral:rRNA from 1 species